CCUACGGGAGGCAGCAGUGAGGAAUAUUGGUCAAUGGCCGAGAGUCUGAACCAGCCAAGUCGCGUGAAGGAAGACGGCCCUAUGGGUUGUAAACCUCUUUUGUCUGGGAGUAAAGUGAGUCACGUGUGACACAUUGAGAGUACCCGAAGAAAAAGCAUCGGCUAACUCCGUGCCAGCAGCCGCGGUAAUACGGAGGAUCCGAGCGUUAUCCGGAUUUAUUGGGGUUAAAGGGGGCGGCGGCGGGUUGUGAAGUCAGUUGGUAAAGUUGGGGGCUCAAACCCAGAAUUGCCGUUGAAACUGCAUGCCUUGAGUGCGCGAGAGGUAUGCGGAAUGCGUGGUGUAGCGGUGAAAUGCAUAGAUAUCACGAAGAACUCCGAUUGCGAAGGCAGCAUACCGGCGCGCAACUGACGCUCAUGCACGAAAGCGUGGGUAUCGAACAGGAUUAGAUACCCUAGUAGUC
rnacentral:rRNA from 1 species